CGAGGUAUAGCUCAGUGGUAGAGUGCAUACCUAGGAUGCACAAAGCCCUGGGUUCAAUCCCCAGGAUCUCCA
rnacentral:tRNA from 1 species